UGGGAACAUACCCUUCGGUUCGGAAUAACUCAGGGAAACUUGGGCUAAUACCGGAUACGUCCGUGAGGAGAAAGAUUUAUCGCCAAAGGAUCGGCCCGCGUCUGAUUAGCUAGUUGGUAGGGUAAUGGCCUACCAAGGCUACGAUCAGUAGCUGGUCUGAGAGGAUGAUCAGCCACAUUGGGACUGAGACACGGCCCAAACUCCUACGGGAGGCAG
rnacentral:rRNA from 1 species